AUGGCGGACAAGUCGAGCCGGCCGCUGGUGCUAUAUGCCGCCAGCCACGCGGCGCUGCUCGCCAGGGGCGGAGGGGGGAAGGGCCAGCUCGACGCAUUCGCCUCCUGUGGCUUCCUCCCCGUCCACACCCCCGUGGUCAACGAGGAUGGAGGGGACAGGAACAGCAACUCAAUUCUCGAGCUGGCGCGGCUGCUUGAUGUGUACGAUGCCCUCUACCCUGCCAAGGAUGGGGAAAUUGCCCAGGUGGAUCCACAGGAGCUAGUAGUCCCCAAGCUAUCCGAGAGGUUCGAUUCAGGUUCUGGCAGCAGUUCUAAGGACACUAGAAUAAUCGACCGGGCGUUCACUCUGCUGGGAUUUGCAGAGGGGAAUGUCCAGGAUGCGUCCAAAUUCGAUCUAGUGUUUGUGCAUGCCGCAAUGGAGAACACAGCCAGCAAGCUUGGGAAAUUAGGGAUGAAGACGGAUCUCAACCGGCUUGACAAAUUGGUGGCUUCAGUCAUGGAAGCUGUGCCGGUCGGUUCAGCUGUCGCUGCCCGUAUUCAUGUUUCUGUUAUCUUGAGCUAUGGAUCUGCUACUGCAAAUAAGGAAGAGGCAUGCCUCAUCUUGAACUCUUCAAGCGAAAUUGAUUCCGACUUGAAAUUUAUUGCCCAUAAGCUUGUGCAACGGUUUUAUGACAAAGCCCUUGCGUUUGGUCUAAAGGGCUAUGCAAAGCUAUAA
rnacentral:rRNA from 1 species